rnacentral:rRNA from 1 species
GAUCCUGGCUCAGAACGAACGCUGGCGGCAUGCCUAACACAUGCAAGUCGAACGAGACCUUCGGGUCUAGUGGCGCACGGGUGCGUAACGCGUGGGAACCUGCCUUUAGGUUCGGAAUAACUCAGAGAAAUUUGAGCUAAUACCGGAUGAUGUCUUCGGACCAAAGAUUUAUCGCCAAGGGAUGAGCCCGCGUAGGAUUAGCUAGUUGGUGUGGUAAAGGCGCACCAAGGCGACGAUCCUUAGCUGGUCUGAGAGGAUGAUCAGCCACACUGGGACUGAGACACGGCCCAGACUCCUACGGGAGGCAGCAGUGGGGAAUAUUGGACAAUGGGCGAAAGCCUGAUCCAGCAAUGCCGCGUGAGUGAUGAAGGCCUUAGGGUUGUAAAGCUCUUUUACCCGGGAUGAUAAUGACAGUACCGGGAGAAUAAGCUCCGGCUAACUCCGUG